rnacentral:lncRNA from 11 species
CGGGUGGCCUUUUGCAGUUGGCAGAUCAUAAUUUUGUCAAUGUCUAUUGUUUCCAAAUGCCGGCUGAGAUCUUUUGGCACGGCACCCAGUGUGCCCAUCACCACCGGGACCACCUGCACUGGUUUCUGCCAGAGUCUUUGAUUAUUAUUAUUAUUAUUAGGUUCAUACUUAUUUACCCAUAUCAUCAAAGGCCGACUCAAUUAUUUUUCACAGCUAUUCCAAGCUCCUUAGAAGAAAGCAAAAUGCAAUUCCCAUUGAAUGGUUCCAUUCUCACUUGCCCUCUUUUGAACUCUGUGUUGUUAUUUGUAAGCGGAUCUAGGAAGGAUCUAUUGAGCUGUGUGUAUAAUCCUACUCAAAUUAAAUUCAUAUCACUGUGGUUGUAUAAAGUGUAUCGCAGGUUGAGUUUCUCUUUCCUGGAAAUCCAAAAGAAUCCCGAAAGGUUAAACGUUAACCCGGUGUUUGUCUUUCCUCCCCUUUGGCAGGUGGGUCCGGCCAUGGGCCUUGCUGGACCUUGCGCAGAGGGGUCCCCGGGGUCAAAGGACUUCCGCCGGGAGAGGCUCCCAUGGUGAGGCCUGGCAUGGAGCCCUCUGCCCCCGGCGGUGACCCCGGCCUCAGGGACCGUUAUGGAGAGAGCCGGUCAAGACCUCCGGACGAAAGCGUGGACCCCUCCUCUCCGUUUGCAUUGCUGGAAGACCUGGACCUGUGGCUGGACGGCUGGCAGGGGGCAAAAGGGGCAAAAGGGACCACCGUUAAUGAGGGGCCACCCUCAACACAGGAGGCGAGCCCCCCAAAAAUAGACAAGGACCCCACACUGGACCUCUUCCAGGCCAGCAUCCGCCAGGCCCAGCUCUGCGUCCUGGAGCUGCAAGGGGAGAUUGACCGGCAGGCCGUGAGCCCCACGAGACCCUCGCAGGAGCCUUUGCGCUUGACCACUGACAGCGAGGAAGAGGAGGAUGAAGAAGAGGAAGGAAUGCCAGAAGAGGAAGAGGAGGAGGAGAUGGAGUGCUUGUUCUACGACAACCCUCUCUUCCAGGAGAGCCCCGUACCCACAAAAGUCCCCGUUGGCUUUGAAGAUCCAGCUUCAGAGUCCCAGGAAGUGACCUCUCCUCCCGGCCGCAAAGAGAUCCUUCUUGGCUGGACAAGGCAAACUCCGGACACCAAAACAAGUGACCAAGUCGGCUUUGAAGACACAGCUGCGGAGUCCCGGGAAGUGGCCUCUCCUCGCGGCCUCAGAGAGAACCUUCUUGGCUGGACAAGGCAAACUCCGGACACCAACACGAGUGACCCCAUCGGCUUUGAAGAUCCGGCUUCAGAGUCCCGAGAAGUGGCCUCUCCUCCCGGCUGCAAAGAGAUGCUGCUCCGCUGGACAAGGCACUCUCCGGACACCAACACGUGUGACCCCGUCAGCUUUGAAGACACAGCUCCGGAGUCCUGGGAAGUGGACUCUCCUCGCGGCCGCAGAGAGAACCUUCUUGGCUGGACAAGGCAAACUCUGGACACCAACAUGAGUGACCCUGUUGGCUUUGAAGACCCAGCUCCAGAGUUCCGGGAAGUGGCCUCUCCUCGCGGCCGCAAAGAGAUCCUGCUCCACUGGACAAGGCACCUUCUGGACACCAAUACGAGUGACCAAGUCGGCUUUGAAGACUCAGCUCUGGAGUCCCAGGAAGUGGACUCUUCUCCUCCCGGCCGCAAAGAGAACCUUUCUGGCUGGACAAGGCAAACUCCAGAGUCCCAGGAAGUGGACUCUUCUCCCGGCCGCAAAGAGAUCCUUCUUGGCUGGACAAGGCACUCUCCGGACACCAACACAAGUGACCAAGUCGGCUUUGAAGAUCCAGCUUCAAGGUCCCGGGAAGUGGCCUCUUCUCCUCCCGGCCGCAGAGAGAUCCUUCUUGGCUGGACAAGGCAAACUCCGGACACCAACGCGAGUGACCCCGUUGGCUUUGAAGACUCAGCUCCAGAGUCCCAGGAAGUGGACUCUUCUCCCGGCCGCAAAGAGAUCCUUCUUGGCUGGACAAGGCACUCUCCGGACACCAACACAAGUGACCAAGUCGGCUUUGAAGAUCCAGCUCCGGAGUCCCAGAAAGUGGCCUCUCCUCCUCUUGACCCCAAAGAGAUCCUGCUUCGCUGGACAAAGCACCCUCCGGACACCGCCACCAGUGACCCCAGCCCCAUCUUGACCAGUCUGCCCCAAUGCCACCCCCUUCCUCCGCUGGUCAUCACCGAAGAAGGAGAAGAAGAGGAAGAGCUGGACCUCGCCCGGAAAGAAGAGAAGGAAGAGGAAGGCAACAAGACGCAAGCCCCACAGGGUCUCCCUCCCCAGCCGGAUGGCGGUCUCUCCGGAGGUGUUUCCGAAGGUCCGGCCACAGGUGAGUUCCGCCUCCGAGGGAUGUUCAUGGACCCCUUGACCACUGGGGUCCACUGUGGGGAGCAGAUGAAGCAGAUGCAGACCCCCCUCCCAACCCCAGAAGAGGUGGUCUCACACCGGCCCCCCUCUCUUUCCCCAGACGCCCACCCAGCCGGCCAAGGCCUCCUCUUCUCCGCUUGCAGCUCUUCCUUGGUCUCAUCGCUGCUGAUGCUGGAGGAGACCCCCGAGUGCCGUCCCCUGGAGGAGAGACCCCGACCCACAUUUCCGUCCCCCAAAGAGACCCCUCCCCGCCCCCCACCGCUGCCCUUGGCCCCCCGACUCCAGGAGCCCCAACGACUCAAGGAGCCUCCUCCACGGGCCUCCUUCCGGAGCCACCCGCCGGCCUCCUGCGCAUGGGCAGAGGGGCCCCGGGGAGCUUCCUGUCUGCGGGAGGAAGGCUCUGCGCAGGAUCCGCACCCGGUCCCGCUCCGCAGCCCAUUGAGGAAGUUGCCGGGGCCUUUGGACAAGCUGCCCACCGAGGGGCCGGCAGAAGAGGAGGAGGAGGAGGAGGACGUGGGGGAGACAGCAGCCCCCCAGAAGUAAGUCUGCCCUAUGGAGGAUCCCCUGUGGGCCCCCCUCCCCCUUCCGCCUGUCAGUCAGCCGCCCACAACAUCCUCCUGCAGUGGUUUGAGGCUGAGCGAGAGGCAGCCGGAGGAGGAAAGGCUCAGGGCGGAUCACACUAUAUACAUAUAGGGCAAAUAUUCAAUGCCCAUAUACACAUAGAACUGAGACAGAGACAGACGCAGAGGCAAUUUAACCUUCUCCUGAGGGCAUGUUCAAUUCCAGCCACAGGGGGGAGCAGCUGCUUCAUCGUCCACUGUGACGGCACUUCCUCAUUCCAACCUCGUAAAUUAGUUAAAUUUGCCUCCCCACUUUAUAAGUGGUACCUUAUUUCCCACUUGAUAAAGGUAAAGGUUUCCCCUGACAUUACGUCCAGUCAUGUCUGACUCUGGGGUUGGUGCCCAUCUCCAUUUCUAAGCCGAAGAGCCGGCAUUGUCCGUAGACAUCUCCAAGGUCAUGUGACCAGCAUGACUGCAUGGAGCACCGGUUACCUUUCCACCGGAGCAGUACCUGUUUAUCUACUCACACGCUGGGGGUUGGUGCCCAUCUCCAUUUCUAAGCCGAAGAGCCGGCAUUGUCCAUAGACAUCUCCA